rnacentral:rRNA from 1 species
ACGAACGCUGGCGGCAGGCCUAACACAUGCAAGUCGAGCGAGAUCUUCGGGUCUAGCGGCGGACGGGUGAGUAACGCGUGGGAAUAUGCCUCUUGGUACGGAAUAGCCUCGGGAAACUGGGAGUAAUACCGUAUGUGCCCUUUGGGGGAAAGAUUUAUCGCCAAGAGAUUAGCCCGCGUUGGAUUAGGUAGUUGGUGGGGUAAUGGCCUACCAAGCCGACGAUCCAUAGCUGGUUUGAGAGGAUGAUCAGCCACACUGGGACUGAGACACGGCCCAGACUCCUACGGGAAGCAGCAGUGGGGAAUCUUAGACAAUGGGGGCAACCCUGAUCUAGCCAUGCCGCGUGAGUGAUGAAGGCCUUAGGGUUGUAAAGCUCUUUCAGCUGGGAAGAUAAUGACGGUACCAGCAGAAGAAGCCCCGGCUAACUCCGUG